rnacentral:rRNA from 1 species
UACGAAGGGGGCUAGCGUUGUUCGGAAUUACUGGGCGUAAAGGGCCAGUAGGCGGCCAACUAAGUCCGACGUGAAAUCCCCAGGCUCAACUUGGGAACUGCGUCGGAUACUGGAUGGCUUGAAUUCGGGAGAGGGAUGCAGAAUUCCAGGUGUAGCGGUGAAAUGCGCAGAUAUCAGGAGGAACACCGGUGGCGAAGGCGGUUCUCUGGGCAUUACCUGACGCUGAGGAGCGAAAGUGUGGGGAGCGAACAGG